GAAAUAUAUAAAAUCGUGUUUAGAUUAGAUUUAAUACUUUUUUGAUAUUUAUCUAAUUUAAACUAUCAAUAGAUUAAAAUUUAUGCUAUCUAAGAAUAAAAGAUAAUCUUUUAAUGAUUUGUGUAUUGAAAAUAUUUCGGUGCAUUCUUGUGAUUUGAAAACAAUCAUUUUGUGUUAACGUCAGUUGUGAACAUGUAACCGCCGGAUAAUUGUAUCGCAAAAAGUGUGUCACAUAUUGUAUUUUUAUGGAACAAUCUCAUGAAUCGAACGUCCUCAAGAAUCGGAAAAGACGACAGAAUUACUGAUCUGACGAAAUGUGCUCAGGAAGGAGUGGACUUGGAUACGGUGGAAGGAUUUUUGAGAGGCGAUUACUGAUAGCCUUAGAAAAACUUGUGGCGAUACCAGCUUGACUCACAAUGAUCCGGUGGCAGAUAAUUUACCCCUGCAGAA